rnacentral:misc_RNA from 1 species
ACCCUUGGCGCCUUGGUGCGCCUCGGGUCUUUAAUAACUAUGCUCACUAUAAACUCAUAGCAGAGCUGCUUAGAUUUUGCUACAGAAAUGAAAUUUCUCCUUGCACCUUUAUUGUUGUCAUAUAAUGGCUUUAUUCAGUUUAAUUGCAUAUUAAACAUUAUGUAUGACCUCAUUGUUAAUAUUAUUAUAGCAUGCAGGUUUUAAUAUUUCAUGCAAUGGCCAUUCUACGUGACUGCUUGCUUUACAUUUUUUUUAUAGCCAAAUACAUAUCACAUACUUGAACUAUUUGGGUUUUGCCUUUUGCAAACCCGAACUAAUUUCGAUACCUGUUACACACCUGAAUUUAAAAAAAUCAUUACACUUAAAUACAAAAUUGAACUGGUACAAGGAUGUGAGAUGCACACACGUUGAAAUGUCAAUUGACUACCAAAUGGCAAAAUAAAAACCAGAACCACAACCAUUCUCAACACCCAUGUCGUUCCUCGUACUAGCAAACCCCUCCAUUGCGUGCAAAUACUGCGAGUAAUACAUAUUCCAUCAGGUUUUACUAUUGCCCAUUUAAAAAAAAAAUCAUAAAGAACAGGAAAGAAACACAAAUGUGGAGAGCAGAGAAUUUAAAUCGGAUCAUGCACCUGUACUUGCUUACCAAAAGAAGGAUGGUGCUUGAGCCUUCCAUUUCCAUUUCUCAUUUUAUCUACCCCUUAGAUGUUUCUACCCUUUUUGUCUGGUAAUUAAUUUACCAAAUUCAAUCCUUAAUCCAAUAAUUAAGGACUGUUCCAGGAAACCUGUGCUUGCAGCCUAUAUCUUGAUUUCCUACAACUAAUAUGGCGUUUUUAUAGAACCUUUUCAACCUUAUUUUUAUCCAUAAAUCAUAAGCAUCUUUUGAAUUUUCUCGAAGCCCUAAAUUUCUAAUUUUGCAAAGCCUUUGGCUGCCAUAAAACCAAGGUAAAUUUGUUCAAGCAUGUUCUAUUACUUUUUCUUUUUUCACUGGAUCUAAAGAAAGGCAAGUGCAGUCCAUUAUGGAUGAGACAUGCUUUAGACAAAAACAGAGUGAUAUUGAUGUUUGGCUAAAACUGUCCUGAGAAGACAUCCUUCUUUAGGUUCGCAUUUAUCAGCAAAACAUCAGAAUAGAAAACUAAUAGCAGUAAUCAUCACAGUUGUAUAAACAAAUAACAGCAACAAUUUAUAAAUAGAAACACCAUCAAUAUCUAAGAGAAACAAAUGAUAGGAACCCUAAGUGCUGGAAGCAAAAGCAAUACCUGAUGAGGAAAUAAAUCUUUCAAACUCAUGGGUG